rnacentral:rRNA from 1 species
UACAGAGGUCUCAAGCGUUGUUCGGAUUCAUUGGGCGUAAAGGGUGCGUAGGCGGUCUGUUGCGUCCGCUGUGAAAACUCGGGGCUUAACCCCGAGCCUGCAGUGGAUACGGGCAGACUAGAGGUAGGUAGGGGAGAAUGGAAUUCCCGGUGUAGCGGUGAAAUGCGCAGAUAUCGGGAGGAACACCGGUGGCGAAGGCGGUUCUCUGGGCCUUACCUGACGCUGAGGAGCGAAAGCGUGGGGAGCGAAACAGGAUUGAG